CACCAAUAUACUCAUCAUAUCAAGCUCCAUUCCAUCAAGAUAAGGAUAAAGAAAAUGCCUCCGGACCAAGAACUGGAUUCUUUGUAGAUUAUGGAGAUGACUGGCAACUGUAUGCACAUGGAAAACACUCUAGUGGAGUGAAACUUCAAAUGAAUAUUGAAGACUUCAUCAAAAUUACACCACACAUAUCAGAAGAUGGGUCAGUUAUACUUGGAUCUAAGACAACUACAGUGUUUGUGGUUGAAGCUAAGACUGGAAGACUUGUUCACACUUAUAAGUCACUUGAUACUCCAUCCACAUUGCAAAAGAAGGGAGUGCUUUGCAUGAUGACAAUAAAAAUAAUAAGGAUCUGGUAAUGUCUGGCUCUUCAAGUACUGCUCAAGUCAUAUACAUCACAAGGACAGAUUACAC
rnacentral:misc_RNA from 1 species